GUUGGGAAUCUUGCACAAUGGGGGAAACCCUGAUGCAGCGACGCCGCGUGGAGGAAGAAGGGUCUAGGCUCGUAAACUCCUUUUUCAGGGAAAGACUUAGGACGGUACCCUGAGAAUAAGCUCCGGCUAACUACGUGCCAGCAGCCGCGGUAAGACGUAGGGAGCGAGCGUUGUCCGGAUUUACUGGGCGUAAAGAGCACGUAGGCGGUCUGUUAAGUGAGAAGUGAAAUCUCCAGCGCUCAACGCGGAAACGGCUUUUCAUACUGGCAGACUUGAGGGAUGCAGAGGCAAGUAGAAUUCCUGGUGUACCGGUGACAUGGGUUGAUAUCAGGAGGAAUACCAAUGGCGAAGGCAGCUUGCUGGGCAUCAUCUGACGCUGAGGUGCGAAAGCGUGGGUAGCAAACAGGAUUAGAAACCCUAGUAGUCC
rnacentral:rRNA from 1 species